CUCAUGUAGUGGAUAAUUAUCAAAUGUCUACCACUUAGGCAUCUCACUGGACACAGAAGACACAACUGUGAACAAGUCCAAGAAAGACCCUGUUCUCAGGAAACUGAAAUUCCUGCUAGAAGGUCUGGCAAACCUUCGUUCAGAGAUAUGACAAAAUCAAGGGUUGUGCAAGAAGCAUGGUGCUGGCAUCUGCUCCUGGUUGAGGCCUCAGGAAGCUUGCCUCCUUCUAUGUCAGCUUUAUUCAGGCAACCUUCCUUCCCAUGCGGUGGCAAGAUGACCAUCCGGCGGGUUCAGGCUUCCAGCCGGUCAUCUCAGAAGCCCAGUGGUUGUCCUUCCCGAUAGCUCUCUAUCAAUCAGGAUUAGGUUAAGCUGCCAAGUAAAAGAAAACUCAAAGUGACAACAGUUUAAACAAGCUAGAAGUUCAUUCUGUCUUACAUAAACAAAAUCCCAAAGUAAGCAGUCCAGGACUGUGUAGUUCCUCCACAAACAUACAUACGCAUGCAUGUAUCUUUAUGAUAGAAUGAAGGAGAAUAGUGCUACAAUGAACAUACGCAUGCAUGUAUCUUUAUGAUAGAAUGAUUUAUAUUCCUCUGGGUAUAUACCCAGUAAUGGGAUUGUUUGGUCAAAUAGUAUUUCUGUUUCUAGAUCUUUGAGGAAUUGUCACAGUGUUUUCCACAAUGGUUAAUUAAUGGUUAAAUUAAUUAAUUUACAUUCCCACCAUCAGUGUAAAAGUGUUCCUAUUUCUCUGCAACUUCACCAGCAUCUGUUGUUUCUAGACUUUUUAAUAGUUGCCAUUCUGACUGGCAUGAGAUGGUAUCUCACUGUGGUUUUGAUUUGCAUUUCUCUAAUGAUCAGUGAUGUUGAGCUUUUUUUCAUAUGUUUUUUGGCUGCAUGAAUGUCUUCCUUUGAGAAGUGUCUGUUCAUGUCUUUUAUCCACUUCUUAAAGGAAAACCCCCGUCUCUUAAAAAGAAAAAAAAAAUCCUUGGUCAAAUGUAAUCAUAUGCCCACACCUAGUUGUAAGGGAGGCUAGAAGUGUAAUCUUUGUUCCUGGAAGAUAUAAACCCAGCUAAAAGUCAAGAGUUCUGUUACUAAGGGAGAUGGAGAAAAUGGAUUUUGGAGGGAGACUAAUAGCAUCUCAUCUGCCAUGUUAAACUAAUAGUUCCAACAAAAGUUUUCUGGGUUUUUUUGUUUGUUUGUUUUUGUUUUUGAGAUGGAGUCUCACUCUGUU
rnacentral:lncRNA from 10 species